AAGGAUCAUUAUCGAAUAAACAUGAACAGGCUGUUGCUGGUCCUCAGGGAUACGUGCACGCUUGUCAUCUUUGUCAUCUCUCCAACUGUGCACAUAUUGUAGACCCUGAAAUAUGGAUUCAUGCCGAGUUGGGACUGCUGUGCUUCAAAAAGUCGGCUUUCCCUUGGGUCUAUGUCAUUUUUCACAACCUCUUGAACGUGUUUUGAAUGUCAAAUAAGGUCCUUUUGUACCUAUAAAGUUAUAAAUACAACUUUCAGCAACGGAUCUCUUGGCUCUC
rnacentral:misc_RNA from 1 species